rnacentral:lncRNA from 1 species
CUGAUAGAUCAUCAUUCAAGUUGGUUGAAUCCAGGGCAUCUUGGCAACAUUUCAGAUCUUUUGGCUGGCAGAAGUUGUUAAAAAAAUCAUGCGUCCAAGAAGAGAAAAAGAAUACUGUUGAAUUCACUAUUGAAGUUUAGAAAUGAGAAGAAAGGGAUGAUGUGCUGCAGGGGGAGAGCUGAGAAGGAAUGCCAUUAGAACAGAAAGAGGAAUUUGGAUACAAGUACUGGAAGUCAUAUAGCAAUUUGGGAGCAGGGUUCUUAAACACACAUGCACAUAGACACACAUAUACAACCCUAUUUAGCAACCUGUCGGGAUUUCUCCAUGAGAUUCUUAUUCUCGCAGCUCUCAGGCUAGGCCCCAUUAUAGGAACUGAUCAUAAUUCAUCUACUUCAAGCCUAUUUAUAUGAUUUGCACAAGUUCACAAAAACUUUGCCAAUUUGCCUGUGAAAUGCACAUGUCAAUUACCCUUCAAUGGUUCAACAACCCAGGACCCUGAGCCCACUGGCAUUUCACAGAGCACUGAGAGACUUUGUCUUCAGUCCACCCCAAAGUACCCCAGCCCUGCCAUCAAUAAUAACACAAAUGAGUUUCCUCAGAGUCAGACCAGGAGUGUCAGCAGUGAAUUGUUGGGGAGAUCUGGGAACUCCCCAUGGCUCCAUGGGUGUUCCUGAAUUUCACUCUCCAGGCUAUCACUUUUUCCAAGUUUCUUUAUUGCUCCAUUACCAGGAAAAAAACAGGGUGUUAAAAAGAGCCAGGCUGCUCUCACACCCCAAAUGACCUGUAGCAGAGUCAGCAACAGGCCAAAACAUGCACAAGAGUGAAGACGUUUUUCUUCCCCAGAUUUCUCCCUGCUGCUUGUGAAGUUGGAAGCACUGUUGCUGGCUCAGCGGGAAGAGGCAACAGUUGUCUUGUGCACCUGUGCCCUAAAUCUCCUCUACUGGUGAUGAGCCCUUUACAUCUCCAGGGAUGCAAUUUCCCCUCCCUCAAGUUUCUCCCUUCCAAUAGAACUUGUGUGUAUGAAAGCUGAAUUAACCACAUUCCGACUUCAGGAAUGCAACGGUCUCUUUCAAAAUGUUUCCAAAACAAGGGAGCAAUGGCAGCUAUUAAUCCAAGAACUUAGAUCCAACAAUUCUCUCCAAAAAUACAAAAUAACAAUUUUCAGCCCAGCAAGAAUGUAUGACAAGUAAAUUGAUUUAUGAAAAUGCAUUAGCAUUUUACACAGAAAAAAAUAAAGAUUUC